AACAGGCAUUUUAAAAUCAUAUCUGAAAAGAAUUUCAAAGGAGACAAAGCACUGUGUUAAAGCAUGCAUUAUGUAUCAUUCUCCUAUAUACUUCAGUGACUACUAAGCUUGUCUUCCUUUCCCUUGCUUCUUCCAUUUUCCAGCCCAAACUAAAGUGUGACUCUCAGAUUUCAGAAACAGGUUAUACUUUUGUCAUCUCGUAUUUCUGACAUCCUAUUUUUGAAAAGAGACUAAAUUGAUCCAUUAAACGUGUAAGAAUGGGAAUGAGAGCAAGGAGCUGCCAUGUGGAUACACUUUUGGACCAGAAAAGAUACAAGAGCCCUUGUUGAAAACAGUACUGCAACUGUGACAUGACAUCUGCUAUUUCUCCUCCAUCCAUAAGGCCUUUAUCUUGGAGCCUCUCCUGUUAGAUCAUUCUUCUUGUAGACAUGAUAAAGCUUUUACAGGUUAUGACCAUAGGUUCCUGAGGAACUGGUGCAGCUAGGAUCUGUUGUACUUCUGAGUCCUGUAGCACAGGUAAAGGAAAGUCAAACAGAGGAAAAUAAAGGGAGAGACAGAAUUUAAGGUAAAACUAACCAGAAACAGAACAGCUUGGAUCCAGGCUUCCCCUUUCCUUCAGGUGCCAGAGACUGAUCCCUUUGCAUAAACUGAAAUGUAAGAAACUCAACAUGCCACUUAUCUUGGAUUAGGAGAACCAUCUGCAGACUACAGUUUCCUCAGUUGUGGAGUGAUCAUGGCUGGAAAGUGUCAUUUUUAAACAUUAUGAGUCUGGCCUUCAUGAAUCUGAAUGCUGUUUUGCUACAUAAGGGUGAAUCCAACCCUAACCAUUCUAUGAUUCUAUUAUUC